GAUUAUAUGCUUGUCUCAAAGCUUAAGCCAUGCAUGUGUAAGUACAAACUAAAUAAAAGUGAAACCGCGAAUGGCUCAUUAAAUCAGCUAUGAUUCAUUGGGUGUACCACUAUUUUAGUUACUUGGAUAACUGUGGUAAUUCUAGAGCUAAUACAUGCACAUAUAGUCCCUUGAAGAAACCUUUAAAUUUUUUUGUAGUCAGACAAAUAAUUUUUAGGUGCUUCAACAGGGCGCUUUUAUUAGUAUCAUAACCGGUGAAAUCAGACCUUUUUGGUCUGUAAAACCCUAUUAUGGUGACUCUGGAUAACUUUUAGCCGAGCGCACAGUCUUUUGCACUGGCGCCGCUUCUUUCAAGUGUCUGCCUUAUCAGCUUUCGAUUGUAGGUUAUGUGCCUACAAUGGCUAUAACGGGUAACGGGGAAUCAGGGUUCGAUUCCGGAGAGGGAGCCUGAGAAACGGCUACCACAUCUAAGGAAGGCAGCAGGCACGCAAAUUACCCACUCCCGGCUUGGGGAGGUAGUGACGAAAAAUAACGAUGCGAGACUCAUCCGAGGCCUCGCAAUCGGAAUGAGUACACUUUAAAUCCUUUUGCGAGGAUCAAUUGGAGGGCAAGUCUGGUGCCAGCAGCCGCGGUAAUUCCAGCUCCAAUGGCAUAUAUUAAAGUUGUUGCGGUUA
rnacentral:rRNA from 1 species